rnacentral:lncRNA from 1 species
AUGCCUAUAAUUAACCUUCUCCUUAUCCCCACUCUUACCGUUAUAGCGUUCCUUGCACUCAUCAAAAGAAAAAGUUUAGGCUAUAUACAACCACACAAAGGACCCAACAUUGUAGGUCCCUAUGGCCUGCUUCAACCAUUCAUUGAUGCAAUAAAACUUUUCACCAAAGAACCUUUACCGCCCUCAACAUCUACUAUUACCCUUUAUAUUAUUGCUCCAAACCUGACCCUUUCUAUCGCUCUCCUCUUACAAAGUCCCCUCCCU